UGACCAUUAACUCAGUUGGUAGAGUAUCUGACUGUUAAUCAGAAAGUCACAGGUUCAAGUCCUGUAUGGUCAG
rnacentral:tRNA from 1 species